GAUGAACGCUAGCUACAGGCUUAACACAUGCAAGUCGAGGGGAAACGACAUCGAAAGCUUGCUUUUGAUGGGCGUCGACCGGCGCACGGGUGAGUAACGCGUAUCCAACCUGCCCAUCACUUGGGAAUAACCUUGCGAAAGUAAGACUAAUACCCAAUGACAUCCCACGAAGACAUCUGAAUGGGAUUAAAGAUUUAUCGGUGAUGGAUGGGGAUGCGUCUGAUUAGCUUGUUGGCGGGGUAACGGCCCACCAAGGCAACGAUCAGUAGGGGUUCUGAGAGGAAGGUCCCCCACAUUGGAACUGAGACACGGUCCAAACUCCUACGGGGGGCAGCAGUGAGGAAUAUUGGUCAAUGGGCGAGAGCCUGAACCAGCCAAGUAGCGUGCAGGAUGACGGCCCUAUGGGUUGUAAACUGCUUUUAUAAGGGAAUAAAGUGGGUCUCGUGAGACUUUUUGCAUGUACCUUAUGAAUAAGGACCGGCUAAUUCCGUG
rnacentral:rRNA from 1 species